rnacentral:lncRNA from 1 species
UAAGUUUAUACUUUCUGUGUUAAUAUUUGUUGUGUUAGGGCCAUUUACGGAGAAGGGUAUUCAUAAAUUCUAUCUCUUUGUGGGGGUUGGAAGCUUAUUGUUGUAUUCUCAGUGUGUAAGCAGGUGAAUUUUCCCAAUUAAAGAGGACGAAUUUUAUGGUCAAAGAAGAAGAUUUAGUGGUGAACUUAAUUAGAUUGUUGAAAGUUUUGUGCUUUACAUAUUUUGAGCCGAGCUGCGAGUACGAGGACAUCGACUUCGUGUUGAAUUAUAUGUGAGUGGCCUUGAGCCUUGACACCCUGACCACGACCUUGUAUGGUAUUAUUUAUUUAUUAGGCUAAUUUUGCCAAUCAAUUUGAGCAUUUUCUGGCCAAUGCAGGUCAACUAUCUUGCUGAUUGUAGUCUUGAGAUUUUGGAUGAUCCUUUGGUGAC